AGGGUUGUAACUCAGUGGUAGAGCACUUGCCUGGCAUGCAUGAGGCCCUGGGUUUGAUCCUCAGCACCACAU
rnacentral:tRNA from 1 species